AAACGUUAUAGAAUGCGUUUAAUGAAAAUGCUAAACUCAAGGUGAAACAGAAAGAGGAUGAGAAGCUGUGGAAUGGCUUAGAAUCUAAAUUUCUUACGAAAACACUGCGAUCAACUCACUGAAACUUUAAAGCAAUUAGCCAGUCAAGUUCAUGAUGAUUGAAGAAAGUAGACUACAUCAAUGAUGACUCUGUUUGCUUAAAAGAAACAGUGUGUUGAAGCAUAAUAUUGGAACUUGAAAAGCUUGUCCCUUCAAUCUAGCUGCACGAAAGAAAUGUCUCGGCAGCAAGAAAUGGUACCACUUGGGGAGGAACUUGCUACCUUGCACCUCUUACCAGAGCCAUCAUAUGGCAAAUGCUUAUGGGGGAAA